CGAAAACGAAUUCUCUCUUGAGUGGAUCCUGAGUACGACGGAGCACGUGAAAUUCCGUCGGAAUCUGGGAGGACCAUCUCCUAAGGCUAAAUACUCUCUAGUGACCGAUAGUGAACCAGUACCGUGAGGGAAAGGUGAAAAGUACCCCGGAAGGGGAGUGAAAGAGAACUUGAAACCGUGUGCUUACAAGUAGUCAGAGCCCGUUAAUGGGUGAUGGCGUGCCUUUUGUAGAAUGAACCGGCGAGUUACGAUCUGAUGCAAGGUUAAGCAGAAAAUGUGGAGCCGUAGCGAAAGCGAGUCUGAAUAGGGCGAAUGAGUAUUUGGUCGUAGACCCGAAACCAGGUGAUCUACCCUUGGUCAGGUUGAAGUUCAGGUAACACUGAAUGGAGGACCGAACCGACUUACGUUGAAAAGUGAGCGGAUGAACUGAGGGUAGCGGAGAAAUUCCAAUCGAACUUGGAGAUAGCUGGUUCUCUCCGAAAUAGCUUUAGGGCUAGCCUCAAGUGAUGAUUAUUGGAGGUAGAGCACUGUUUGGACGAGGGGCCCCUCUCGGGUUACCGAAUUCAGACAAACUCCGAAUGCCAAAUAAUUUAACUUGGGAGUCAGAAUGUGGGUGAUAAGGUCCAUAUUCGAAAGGGAAACAGCCCAGACCACCAGCUAAGGUCCCAAAAUAUAUGUUAAGUGGAAAAGGAUGUGGCGUUGCCCAGACAACUAGGAUGUUGGCUUAGAAGCAGCCAUCAUUUAAAGAGUGCGUAAUAGCUCACUAGUCGAGUGACACUGCGCCGAAAAUGUACCGGGGCUAAACAUAUUACCGAAGCUGUGGAUUGUCCUUUGGACAAUGGUAGGAGAGCGUUCUAAGGGCGUUGAAGCAUGAUCGCAAGGACAUGUGGAGCGCUUAGAAGUGAGAAUGCCGGUGUGAGUAGCGAAAGACGGGUGAGAAUCCCGUCCACCGAUUGACUAAGGUUUCCAGAGGAAGGCUCGUCCGCUCUGGGUUAGUCGGGUCCUAAGCUGAGGCCGACAGGCGUAGGCGAUGGAUAACAGGUUGAUAUUCCUGUACCACCAUUAUUCGUUUUAAGCGAUGGGGGGACGCAGUAGGAUAGGCGAAGCGUGCUGUUGGAGUGCACGUCCAAGCAGUGAGAUUGAGUGUUAGGCAAAUCCGGCACUCUUAAGAUUGAGCUGUGAUGGGGAGAGGAACUUGUUCCUCGAGUCGUUGAUUUCACACUGCCGAGAAAAGCCUCUAGCUAGAAUAACGGUGCCCGUACCGCAAACCGACACAGGUAGUCAAGAUGAGAAUUCUAAGGUGAGCGAGCGAACUCUCGUUAAGGAACUCGGCAAAAUGACCCCGUAACUUCGGGAGAAGGGGUGCUCUUUGAGGUUCACGCUUCGAAGAGCCGCAGUGAAUAGGCCCAAGCGACUGUUUAUCAAAAACACAGGUCUCUGCUAAACCGUAAGGUGACGUAUAGGGGCUGACGCCUGCCCGGUGCUGGAAGGUUAAGAGGAGUGGUUAGCGCAAGCGAAGCUACGAAUCGAAGCCCCAGUAAACGGCGGCCGUAACUAUAACGGUCCUAAGGUAGCGAAAUUCCUUGUCGGGUAAGUUCCGACCCGCACGAAAGGCGUAACGAUUUGGGCACUGUCUCAACGAGAGACUCGGUGAAAUCAUAGUACCGGUGAAGAUGCCGGUUACCCGCGACAGGACGGAAAGACCCCGUGGAGCUUUACUGUAGCCUGAUAUUGAAAUUCGGUACAGUUUGUACAGGAUAGGUAGGAGCCUUAGAAGCGUGAGCGCUAGCUUACGUGGAGGCAUUGGUGGGAUACUACCCUAAUUGUAUUGGAUUUCUAACCCGCAGCACUUAUCGUGCUGGGAGACAGUGUCAGGCGGGCAGUUUGACUGGGGCGGUCGCCUCCUAAAGAGUAACGGAGGCGCUCAAAGGUUCCCUCAGAAUGGUUGGAAAUCAUUCAUAGAGUGUAAAGGCAUAAGGGAGCUUGACUGCGAGACCUACAAGUCGAGCAGGGUCGAAAGACGGACUUAGUGAUCCGGUGGUUCCGCAUGGAAGGGCCAUCGCUCAACGGAUAAAAGCUACCCCGGGGAUAACAGGCUUAUCUCCCCCAAGAGUUCACAUCGACGGGGAGGUUUGGCACCUCGAUGUCGGCU
rnacentral:rRNA from 1 species